rnacentral:rRNA from 1 species
UACAGAGGAGCCAAGCGUUGUCCGGAUUGACUGGGCGUAAAGCGCACGCAGGCGGACGCGCGCGUGGGGUGUGAAAUCUGGCCGCUUAACGGCCAGGCGCCAUCCCAUACGGCGCGACUGGAGUGAUGCAGAGGUCGAUGGAAUUGCCGGUGUAGUGGUGAAAUGCGUAGAGAUCGGCAGGAACACCCAGGGGGAAACCAGUCGACUGGGCAUCUACUGACGCUGAGGUGCGAAAGCGUGGGGAGCAAACAGG